rnacentral:tRNA from 1 species
GCCGGGGUGGCGAAAUGGUAGACGCACCAGAUUCAAAAUCUGGCGGUGGUAACACCGUGUCGGUUCAAGUCCGACCCUCGGUA